rnacentral:lncRNA from 1 species
CUUGGGCGAUUGCGGCGAGCGCUAGUGGAGGUAAUCCCGGGUUGGAGGGGUCGUCGGGCAGGACUCCUUGGUUUUCUAGCGCGGAUCCUCCCGACGCCACAUUGUUUCCUCUUGUAGGUUCCGUGGGCAGGGUUACCACCGGUUGUAGGGAAGGUGGCGCGAAGCCCAUCGAGCGAGGCAUGCCGAGUUCCGUAUCCCCUG